GACGAACGCUGGCGGCGUGCUUAACACAUGCAAGUCGAACGGAAAGGCCCUGCUUUUGUGGGGUGCUCGAUUAGCGAACGGGUGAGUAACACGUGAGUAACCUGCCCUUGACUUUGGGAUAACUUCAGGAAACUGGGGCUAAUACCGGAUAGGAGCUCCUGCUGCAUGGUGGGGGUUGGAAAUUUUCGGCGGUUGGGGAUGGACUCGCGGCUUAUCAGCUUGUUGUUGGGGUAGUGGCAUAACAAGGCUUUGCCGGGUAGCCGGCCUGAGAGGGUGACCGGAAACAUUGGGACUGAGAUAAGGCCCAGACUCCUACGGGAGGCAGAAGUGGGGAAGAUUACACAAGGGGCGGAAGGCUAACGCAGCAUCGCCGCGUGCGGGAUGACGGGCAUGGGGUUGGAAAGCGAAUUCGCCUGUGACGAAGAGUGAGUGACGGUAAUGGGUAAAGAAGCACCGGCUAACUACGUG
rnacentral:rRNA from 1 species